UGAACGCUGGCGGCGUGCUUAACACAUGCAAGUCGAACGGUGAACACGGAGCUUGCUCUGUGGGAUCAGUGGCGAACGGGUGAGUAACACGUGAGCAACCUGCCCCUGACUCUGGGAUAAGCGCUGGAAACGGCGUCUAAUACUGGAUAUGUGACGUGACCGCAUGGUCUGCGUUUGGAAAGAUUUUUCGGUUGGGGAGGGGCUCGCGGCCUAUCAGCUUGUUGGUGAGGUAAUGGCUCACCAAGGCGUCGACGGGUAGCCGGCCUGAGAGGGUGACCGGCCACACUGGGACUGAGACACGGCCCAGACUCCUACGGGAGGCAGCAGUGGGGAAUAUUGCACAAUGGGCGAAAGCCUGAUGCAGCAACGCCGCGUGAGGGAUGACGGCCUUCGGGUUGUAAACCUCUUUUAGCAGGGAAGAAGCGAAAGUGACGGUACCUGCAGAAAAAGCGCCGGCUAACUACGUGCCAGCAGCCGCGGUAAUACGUAGGGCGCAAGCGUUAUCCGGAAUUAUUGGGCGUAAAGAGCUCGUAGGCGGUUUGUCGCGUCUGCUGUGAAAUCCCGAGGCUCAACCUCGGGCCUGCAGUGGGUACGGGCAGACUAGAGUGCGGUAGGGGAGAUUGGAAUUCCUGGUGUAGCGGUGGAAUGCGCAGAUAUCAGGAGGAACACCGAUGGCGAAGGCAGAUCUCUGGGCCGUAACUGACGCUGAGGAGCGAAAGGGUGGGGAGCAAACAGGCUUAGAUACCCUGGUAGUCCACCCCGUAAACGUUGGGAACUAGUUGUGGGGUCCAUUCCACGGAUUCCGUGACGCAGCUAACGCAUUAAGUUCCCCGCCUGGGGAGUACGGCCGCAAGGCUAAAACUCAAAGGAAUUGACGGGGACCCGCACAAGCGGCGGAGCAUGCGGAUUAAUUCGAUGCAACGCGAAGAACCUUACCAAGGCUUGACAUAUACGAGAACGGGCCAGAAAUGGUCAAC
rnacentral:rRNA from 1 species